CUCAUUUUAAGACAGCUUGAUUUGAGGGUGAGGGUAAAAUCACCAUUGCCCGCAUAUCCUGGAUCUUCAAGUUCACACAGGGAAAUCUGGAAUCAUGAAUGUUGAAACUGGGAAUGCCGAGAGUCCACAACUACCUGAUCCAUGAUAGCCCUUGAUUUCUUGGCCUAAUCUCUUUUUCACAUCCUGGGAUAUUAAAUUAAAGAAGGAAUUAAGAAAGGCCUUUUCAGGCUGGGCAUGGUGGCUCACGCCUGUAAUCCCAGCACUUUGGGAAGCCGAGGCGGGUGGAUCACCUGAAAUCUUUUAUCUUGCCACGGGGGGUUGAUUUUAAGACAUUUCUAAUUAUGAAAUGAAGAGUUAUUCCCGAUCGAAAAAAAUCUUUGGAAAAGUGGAAAAGUGGCUCCUUUAGAGGGUGGCAUGUUAGCCGAUAUCCUGAUUUGCAGCCUGGAGGCAGGUGUCCAUGCCUAACGUCAGCGCCUGGGGCAGCCCACUCUUCCUGGAAGAUGGGUGCUGCUGUCAGAGGCCAGUGGCAGGUGGUGCGUCCCCAAGGGCUCCCUUUGGCAAGGCUGACCCAAGCAGCCAAUGGCUCUUUCGAAUAAUGUUACUAUAGAGGUAUUAGGGGAAGGCCACAUACAAGUUAUGUCCCAAUUUGUCAAGGAAUUCAAGAAAGCCUUUCGUGACAGGGAAUUUUAGGAUGGAUAACAGUGAAGUCGGGCUGUGUGACUGUUCAUAGAAUUCAGUUCACUUUAAUGAAUAUUGAUCGAAAACCUUCCUAUGUGCCAGAUGCAUGCUUGUAACUGGGCCUAUAUGUUAUUUAGAGCUUUUUUUGAAGUAAAAAAAAAAAAAAAUCCACCAGUCCUGACAACUUCUUUUUCUUUUAUUUGCAAGUUCUAUGGCUUACUUAAAUGGUCUACUAUUGAUGGAAGUGUAGAGUGUUGGCAUUAUUUUGCUGGAUAAUCAAUACAUUCCCCAAUAAAUGGGUCUAUCCCUAAUUGCUGGUGUCCUCAUGUUUCAUACUGGGAAUCAAUAUCACAUGUUUAUUUGAUCAUUAGCUACUUUAGGAUUAAAGAUGUAGACAGGUUCAACAGAGGUUCUUGGUUAGCGAGUGUCUCUAUUGAGUAUCGCGAAGAUGGUGAGAUGGGAUGAGUUUCUUGAUUAGCUAAACUGAAAAAAAUAGUGUCUUUCUGAAAUAAUAAGGCAGGCUAUUAGAUGCUGCCUAACACUUACCCAGCCUGUGGGUAAAACUAUAAUGACAGAAAACGUAGAAGUGGUUGCUAGGGGCCAAGGUGGGGUGGGGGGAGCUGAUUGGCUACAAAGGAGUAAUUCACUUUCCGGUCACAAUUUACAAAUGAUCCAUCCUUUCUGCAUGUUAUGUGGUUCCAACUUCAUCUUUACGAAGUUCCCGUAUCUCUUAGAGUGAAUACAGGAAAUCAGUUAAAAAACAAAGUUCCCAGGUAUUGUGGGAUAAGAGUGCAAGUGUAAAUAUCCUUCGUAUAUGACCUAGGCACACUUUAGGCAACUGUUCUCCAACUUUAGCAUACGUCAGAUGAUUGGUUCUAGGGCCCUCCACGUAUACCCAAAUCUGGGCCUACUCAAAUCCCACAAGUUGGCCCUGCAGAACCUACGUAUUUGAAAAGUCAACUCUCUGUGUACACAGGCUUCACAUCCCAUGAAU
rnacentral:lncRNA from 1 species